rnacentral:rRNA from 1 species
ACCCCAAAGUUUGACCUCGGAUCAGGUAGGG